AUGUCUUCCGACCUGGCUUUCACGAUCACAAACGUGUACGCCCCAUCUGACCACUCCCUCACUCAAGAGUUCCUGGAUGAUAUGAUGGCCAUCUCAAAUAACAUCUCGGGGGCCUGGCUGACUCUUGGAGGCUUCAAUCUCAUUCGCUACCUUGAGGAGAAGAACAAUAAUAACUUUUGUGCUCCUCUUGCGUCUCGUUUCAACUCUCUGAUAAACGACUUGUCGUUUAUCGAGCUCCCUCUCUCCGACCGCCUCUUUACAUGGACAAACCGCCGAACCCCACCCACCCUGGCUCGCCUCGACCGGGCGUUCUUCAAUGUCGGCUGGGACGCCGCUCUUCCAAACUCCACCCUCGCCUCCCGUCCCCGUGUCACGUCCGACCACUUCCCGCUCCUCGUCACCGCCUCCACGCGCAUCCCGCGUCCCACAUUUUCCACUUCGAGUGAAAGCUGA
rnacentral:rRNA from 1 species